ensembl:lncRNA novel transcript
AGAACUAGGCAGGCACUGAAGAGGUUAAGCCAGCCAGCAGCAUCUCAUCAGUGGCCCAAAUAGCUUAAUAGCUCCAUUUUCUGUGUGUUUCCAGUUCUCACCUACUUCCUGAGCAAUUCAUCAGGAGUGGAGGGGCAUGUGCAGGAUCGCCAUGUAACGUGAAUCCUGAUUCCACGUUUGCCUUUUGUGGUCGGCUUUACAAAGUGGAAAUGCUUCCAGUCGGUUUUAUGACCUGCAGCCACCUGCCGGAGGAAGCUUCUGACAACCAGGCUUUCAAAAAGGCAGGAUUGGUUUGUUUGUUUGUCCUGUGGGAUCCUCCUCUCUCCUAUUAAUCUCCAAUCAGCUAAUGGCAUCAAAAGAUCGCCCUGGGUAGGAAGCAAUGUGAUAAAGGACAGGUGAAGGAAGUCAAGGAGAGAAAUGAUGUGGAAGGCUGGAGGGGAGGCUCCCACCCACAGACACAGGGGCCACAGUCGGCCCUGGACACACAGAACACCUUUAAGAAGGCAUAAGAACUGGAAACCUGAAAUUACUUUCUUCUGACAUUGUCUCUUUCUGGAUCUGCUCAGCUGGAAAGCCCAAUGCAGAGCGAUUUGUCUUUGUUCUGACUUCUGUUGUAUUCCAUGUAAAGCCAUCACCCCAGGAGACUCGAAUUUCCUGUGGAUGUUGAUGUGCCCAUAUCUGCAGUGACAAAUCAAUUCAAAGAUACAAAUGCAGUUUUGUUAUAUGCACAUAUUGCCUACUGGUGAAGUCUGUGCUUUCAGGGUACCCAUCACCGGAACAGCAAACAUUGUACCCAAUAGAUGCUUCCUGCCCUUGAACAGCAGACUCCUAGUUCUUCAGCUUUUGGACUCUUGGACCUACACCAGUGGUUUGCCAAGGGCUGUUGGGCCUUCAGCCACAGACUAAAGGCUGCACUGUCAGCUUCCCUACUUUUUAGGUGUUUGGAAUUGGACUGGCUUCCUUGCUCCUCAGCUUGCAGAUGGCCUAUUGUGGGGCUGCACCUUGUGAUCGUGUGAGUCAAUGCUCCUUGAUAAACUCCCUUUCAUGUAUACAUCUAUCCUAUUAGUCCUGUCCCUCUAGAGAGCACUGACUAACAGAGGGAGCCACUACAGACUCGAUAUGUUAUAAUGGAAAACUAAACUUAAACUAAAUUAAAUUAAAAAGCCAACACAUCCAUCAAAACAUGGUGUUUCAGUAGGACAGGUUAAACAUCACCUUCAUAUAGAAAAAACAAACAAAACAAAAAUUUUGAUUAUCUGCGCUAUGUAUAAACGUAGACAAAAUCUGUUUCUGUAAUAGAUGGCCAGCUCUUCCCCCUGCAGUUCAAGAAAAAAUAAAACUGAAGAUCAUCAGAAUAAGAGCAACUGAAAAGGUUAUGGAGAUGGGAUGGGCUAAACACUUGAAACUACUCAGAUUGGAAAGUCAGAGACUCAAAUAAACAAAGGGACAACAGCCAGACUGUAUAUAACAUUAGGACUCUGACCUACAAUCUGUAGCUAAUAGUCUGGGAAACCAAAUCACAAAGUCUGCCACAAUCAACUCAUGUUGGCCAGGACUUGGUCAAUGACUGGCAGCUCCCCUACUUUUUGCUCUUACUUCUAACAAAGGGCCAAAAAAAGAAAGCCACAUAUGCUCCCAAAUCAAUCACGAGGGAUGCCUCAUUUCUGAUUAGGUUGUCUCCAGCUUCCCCAGGUCAACAGUCUUCAACAGGCCAACAAACUUCAAUACUUUAAGCCUUCUCUUUUAUCACCUUAUAAAGCUUUUAUACUUGUACUUGACUUUGCAUUUCUGCAAAAAAUAAGUAAUAGUAACUAACUCCCUGGAACAGAUAGCUUUGACUAAAUCACCUCUGUUUAUUUUCUGUUAGUGGUCUUCGUUUAUUUCCACAAGAAAAAAGGUAAGAUGACAAAUAUCCAUAAAAUCAUAAAUGAUCUGCAUGAGGAGAGCAGAGAUUUAAACAAUAAAUUUUGUUCUUUGAUGAGGAUGUAAUAAGUUACUCAGUGUCUCUUAAGAUUAAAGUCAAGGUCAGGAGAUGUUCCCUGUGAAAAUGAUUAUAACAAAGUAAAUAAAUCAUAUAGCCAUAAAGAAACCUAUUCUUAAGAAAUUACUUGUAAAGUCGAUAUUACUGUAUACAGUGUUACUUCUGUUUCCUCCAAAAUCAGGCCAUCAAUAAAAAAUUUGAUUGAGACCAGUAAAGUAGUAACUCCAUAGUGACAUACAGAAACCAAGAUAUAUGAGGGUUGACUCUGGUCCCAAUCCUCUUCCAUGAGGUUGUUCCAGAUCUUUUCAGUGCUCUGCCUACCAUCUAUACUGCCCUUAUAGACCAUGGUCUCACAUGACCUAUACUCCAUGUUGCAUAUGAUGCAUGAAUGAGUGAAUAAUGGCCCAUGGGUCUUGCUGGUGUUUCAUGAGUUAAUAAUUUCAGCUCCCUCAAGCAAAUGUUAAUUCUCUGAGGACAAAAACAUAGAAGGUACAUUUCCCGAACUACUUGCUUAGUAACAACACAGUUUAAUUAAGUCAGUCAUAAAGUUUGACUUCAGAAGGAACCACUGUCACAUGUACUUAUGAUACAACUAUGAUUACCUACAUCACGGUUGUAUAUUGCAGUUGUUUGUUUUGUUAUUAUGUCCACUACCAACUAGAAAGCCCUUAGGGCAAUAACUGCUUUGUCAUUGUUGUUCAUUUUGCAUUUCCUGUACCUAACAGAGUAGCUGGUUCAUGAUAGGCCCUUGAUAUUCAAUGUCCUGUUUGCUGUCGACUCCUACCAGAAAAAGAAUUGUAUAUGAAGCAGCAGUGAUCUGACCUAGGUAGCAACUGGUGCAUUUUGCAUUUCAGGGGUUAGAAAACUUUACCUGAAAAGAACAGAUGGUAAAUUUUAGGCUUACAGGACAUAGGGUCUUUGUAGCAACUACUCAACUUUACCCUUGUCAGCCAAAGCAGCUCUAGACAAUAGUAAACACAUAGGGAUGGCUGUGUUAAUAGUACUUUCUUUACAAAAACAGAUAGAGGACUGGAUUUGGCCUGAGGCCUACAAUAUGCCUACCCAUGAACAUGGAAUAUCCAUAGUUCAAAGAGAGAUAGGAAUUGUAUAUACUCUGUAAAUCCAAAUAUAAGCAAUACUUCACAAAGCCAUAAUUGGGGCCCCCAAACUGUUCCCAAAUGUGAUGCAAUUUGCUGCCUAUAUUCAAAAUGGAGGGAAAUGUUAAAUUUCAGCUUGCGCUUCGUGGAAAUACAGAUGGACCUUGGCUAAAUAACCCCUGCUCUAGGAGGAAUGGAAUUUACCAUUUUUCUCCAUAAUAACACUGUUUAUUGAAGGACAACUUACUAUGAACCAAACUUUUAAUAUACAUCAUUUAUUCAAUCCCCAAAGAACACUACAAAGUAGGAAUUAUCAUUUUUAUUUUAGACAUAAACAAGUGGCAAAAUAGCUUAGUGAGUGUAUUGUUUGAAGUCACGAGAUUUGUGCAAGAAAAAGACAGCUUCAAGCCCAGGACUACCCAACUGCAUGAGUCGUGUGCUUUGCAGACUGCAGAUCCCUCAGCAGGAGAGGGGAGAGCUGGUGUCGUGGAACGUGUGUAUAUUAAAACAAUGACCUACAUUGAUCAAAUA